UCUACGGGGGGCAGCAGUGGGGAAUAUUGGACAAUGGGCGAAAGCCUGAUCCAGCCAUGCCGCGUGUGUGAAGAAGGCCUUCGGGUUGUAAAGCACUUUCAGUGGGGAAGAAAGCCUUGGGGCUAAUACCCUCGAGGAAGGACAUCACCCACAGAAGAAGCACCGGCUAACUCCGUGCCAGCAGCCGCGGUAAUACGGAGGGUGCGAGCGUUAAUCGGAAUUACUGGGCGUAAAGCGCGCGUAGGCGGUCUGAUAAGCCGGUUGUGAAAGCCCCGGGCUCAACCUGGGAACGGCAUCCGGAACUGUCAGGCUAGAGGGCAGGAGAGGAAGGUAGAAUUCCCGGUGUAGCGGUGAAAUGCGUAGAGAUCGGGAGGAAUACCAGUGGCGAAGGCGGCCUUCUGGACUGACACUGACGCUGAGGUGCGAAAGCGUGGGUAGCAAACAGGAUUACAUACCCUGGUAGUC
rnacentral:rRNA from 1 species